rnacentral:tRNA from 1 species
GCCUGGGUGGCUCAAUAGGUUAAGCGUCUGACUUCUGCUCAGGUCAUAAUCUCACAGUUCAUGGGUUUGAGCCCCACAUCGGGCU